GGGCCCAAGAAAAGAAAAUGGAGAACAUUUUCGGAGAUUACCGAAAUCUUAGAAUUAAAAAAAAAGCUGGCAUACUUCUGUCUAGGACAUCUAUUAUUAGAGAUUUCCAAAACACUAAUGUAUAGACCUGAAGAGAUUGUACAGUACAUGCGAGGAUUGAUCGCAAAGUUACUUUUUCAUCACCAUCAUAAGUGAAGAGUCACUAAAUGAAAGCUACAGAUUUCUAACUUGCCUUUCAGCCACAAGUGGGAUCAAAAGAAACAGGCUCCUUUGGUUAAGACUAUGAGAAGAAUCACUUGUUUUUUUUCUCGGCAAAGAAGGCAGUCAGAUCAGAACAUCAGCAACUUAUUUGCCUCUGAAGUGACUAGAUGAAUAGAAUAAAAAAUGAAUUGCUGCUUUGUAAGGUAUGGAUUACUGUAUGAAAUCCUAUAUAUGUUUACGUAUUCAAA